ACAGUUUAACAUGAUGGAGUAUAGGACAGGACUGCUGCUUUUAACUCUCUGCUGGGCAGGUGUUGAUGGUCAGACUCUGACAGAAUCUGAACCAGUGGUUAAAAGGCCUGGAGAAUCUCACAGAUUGACCUGUACAGCCUCUGGAUUCACAUUCAGUAACCACUGGAUGGCCUGGGUCAGACAGGCUCCUGGAAAAGGACUGGAGUGGAUCGCUUAUAUCAGUAGUGGUGGUGGUAGCUACAUCUCCUACUCUCAGUCAGUUCAAGGCCGGUUUACCAUCUCCAGAGACAACAGCAGACAGCAGCUGUAUCUGCAGAUGAACAGUCUGAAGACUGAAGAUUCUGCUGUUUAUUAUUGUGCUCGAGACUCACAGUGACUGGAGUUGGUUGAGCAGCUGUACAAAAUCCUACAGGACUAAUUGCUCAGGC